rnacentral:snoRNA from 1 species
ACCCCAGUGUCUUUGUCAGGAAGCGUUCCGCGCUCUUUUGAGUGCUUACAAUGGAAGUUCUCCGUUAAACACUGGGAAAAUCGAGGGCUGUCUCGCUGUCCUGGUCCUUGGAUCAGGGCUGAUGGGGUCCGUUUUGGAUUUCCUAUCAUGAGACAGAAUUGCUUCCGAUGAGUUGAAGUCUGCCAGUGCUCUUCCGAGCCUUUCGAUGGUGGUAUUUCUUAGUAGUGAAGCAUACACAC